AACGAACGCUGGCGGCAUGCCUAACACAUGCAAGUCGAACGAGACCUUCGGGUCUAGUGGCGCAAGGGUGCGUAACGCGUGGGAACCUGCCCUUAAGUUCGGAAUCACUCCUCGAAAGGGGUGCUAAUACCGGAUAAUGUCUUCGGCUCAAAGAUUUAUCGCCUUUGGAUGGGCCCGCGUUGGAUUAGCUAGUUGGUAGGGUAAAAGCCUACCAAGGCGACGAUCCAUAGCUGGUCUGAGAGGAUGAUCAGCCACACUGGGACUGAGACACGGCCCAGACUCUUACGGGAGGCAGCAGUGGGGAAUAUUGGACAAUGGGCGAAAGCCUGAUCCAGCAAUGCCGCGUGAGUGAUGAAGGCCUUAGGGUUGUAAAGCUCUUUUACCCGGGAUGAUAAUGACAGUACCGGGAGAAUAAGCUCCGGCUAACUCCGUG
rnacentral:rRNA from 1 species